AGUGAACGCUGGCGGUAGGCCUAACACAUGCAAGUCGAACGGCAGCACAGUAAGAGCUUGCUCUUACGGGUGGCGAGUGGCGGACGGGUGAGGAAUACAUCGGAAUCUACUUUUUCGUGGGGGAUAACGUAGGGAAACUUACGCUAAUACCGCAUACGACCUACGGGUGAAAGCAGGGGAUCUUCGGACCUUGCGCGAUUGAAUGAGCCGAUGUCGGAUUAGCUAGUUGGCGGGGUAAAGGCCCACCAAGGCGACGAUCCGUAGCUGGUCUGAGAGGAUGAACGGCAACACGGGAACGGAGACACGGCCCAGACGCCGAGGGGAGGGGGGAGUGGGGAAAAUGGGGCAAAGGGGGAAAGCCUGACCGAGCGACCGCGGGUGGGGGAAGAGGGGCUGCGGGUGGUAAAACUCUUUUUUUGGGGAAAAAAAAAAGAGAAAGUAACUCUCCCUGUUUUGACGCUCCCCAAAAAGAAAGCCACGGCUAACUACGUG
rnacentral:rRNA from 1 species